rnacentral:rRNA from 1 species
AUUGAACGCUGGCGGCAGGCCUAACACAUGCAAGUCGAACGAGUGGCGGACGGGUGAGUAAUGUCUGGGAAACUGCCUGAUGGAGGGGGAUAACUACUGGAAACGGUAGCUAAUACCGCAUACCAUCGGAUGUGCCCAGAUGGGAUUAGCUAGUAGGUGGGGUAACGGCUCACCUCGGCGACGAUCCCUAGCUGGUCUGAGAGGAUGACCAGCCACACUGGAAGUGAGACACUGUCCAGACUCCUCCAGGAGGCAGCAGUUGUGAAUAUUGCGCACUGGGCGCAAGCCUGAGGCAGGCAUGCCGCGUUUAUGAAGAAGGCCUUCGGGUUGUAAAGUACUUUCAGCGAGGAGGCGUUACCCGCAGAAGAAGCACCGGCUAACUCCGUGCCAGCAGCCGCGGGAAUUG